rnacentral:rRNA from 1 species
GCCUGAAGAUGAGCUCGCGUCUGAUUAGCUAGUUGGUGUGGUAAAAGCAUACCAAGGCAACAAUCAGUAUCUGGUCUGAGAGGGUGAGCAGCCACACUGGGACUGAGACACAGCCCAGACUCCUACGGGAGGCACCAGUGGGGAAUUUUCCGCAAUGGGCGAAAGCCUGACGGAGCAAAACCGCGUGGGGGAGGAAGGCUCUAGGGUUGUAAACCCAUUUUCUUUGUGAAGAAAUUAUUUCCGAACCAAAAGAAGCAACCUCAACUAAUUCCCUGCCCACAGCCGCUUGCAUACGGAGGAUGCAACCCUUUUCCGGAAAUAUUGGGCGUAAAGCGUCCGCAGGUGGCCAUGUCAGGUUUCUGUCCAAACGCAGGGGUUAACUCUGGUCAAGCAGUGGAAACUACAUAGCUUGAGUCUGGUUUGGGCAAACGGAAUUCUCAGUGUAGCCGUGAAAUGCGUAGAGCUCGGGAAGAACAUCCCUGGCGAACGCGCUUUGCUAGAACAAAACUGACACUCAUGGACCAAAG